CCUACGGGUGGCAGCAGUGGGGAAUAUUGCACAAUGGGGGAAACCCUGAUGCAGCGACGCCGCGUGAGUGAAGAAGUAAUUCGUUAUGUAAAGCUCUAUCAGCCGGGAAGAAAAUGACGGUACCUGUGUAAGAAGCCCCGGCUAACUACGUGCCAGCAGCCGCGGUAAUACGUAGGGGGCAAGCGUUAUCCGGAAUUACUGGGUGUAAAGCGAGCGUAGACGGCAGUGCAAGUCUGGAGUGAAAGGCGGGGGCUCAACCCCCGGACUGCUCUGGAAACUGUACGGCUGGAGUGCAGGAGAGGUAAGUGGAAUUCCUAGUGUAGCGGUGAAAUGCGUAGAUAUUAGGAGGAACACCAGUGGCGAAGGCGGCUUACUGGACUGAAACUGACGUUGAGGCUCGAAAGCGUGGGGAGCAAACAGGAUUAGAUACCCGUGUAGUC
rnacentral:rRNA from 1 species